rnacentral:lncRNA from 1 species
UUUUUAUCGAGUAUGUUCGUUAUUGGGAGUUCGUAUGUGAGCUCUCUGAGAUCCCAUGUUAUUUGUAUUGCUUCGUCAUAUCUAUUUGUGAGAGAGAUGAGUGACCUUCUCCUAAGGACUCCGAGUCAUUGUCCUUCCCAUCAUUACAUUCAUUAUUGAUGUGACUUCACUUCAUGUUUGAUCUGAGUCGAUCACUACCUUUCUUCAC